rnacentral:rRNA from 1 species
CCUACGGGUGGCAGCAGUGAGGAAUAUUGGUCAAUGGACGAGAGUCUGAACCAGCCAAGUAGCGUGAAGGAUGACUGCCCUAUGGGUUGUAAACUUCUUUUAUAUGGGAAUAAAAUGUUCCACGUGUGGGAUUUUGUAUGUACCAUAUGAAUAAGGAUCGGCUAAUUCCGUGCCAGCAGCCGCGGUAAUACGGAGGGUCCGAGCGUUAUCCGGAUUUAUUGGGUUUAAAGGGAGCGUAGGUGGAUUGUUAAGUCAGUUGUGAAAGUUUGCGGCUCAACCGUAAAAUUGCAGUUGAAACUGGCAGUCUUGAGUACAGUAGAGGUGGGCGGAAUUCGUGGUGUAGCGGUGAAAUGCUUAGAUAUCACGAAGAACUCCGAUUGCGAAGGCAGUUCACUGGACUGCAACUGACACUGAGGCUCGAAAGUGUGGGUAUCAAACAGGAUUAGAUACCCCAGUAGUC